CCUUGGGAGUUCUUGUUUGGUAAAAAAAACCUUGUUGUUCUUCUCCCCGUUUCGAUCUUCCAAUGUCCAACAUGAAGUCUUUGGUAGCCCUCGUGAACCGGAUUGAGCGAUUCUGCAGGGCUCUCGGCGAAGACGGCGACGCUAUUCUGCCUACUCUCUUGGAACCCCUUCAAUUCCCUCCAUUGCCGUCGUCGGUCCUCAGAGUUCUGGAAAGUCCUCGGUGUUAUGUAGCAUCCUCGGCCAUGAUUUGCUGCCCAGGGGAUCAGGGAUUGUGACGCGGAGGCCUUUGGAACUGCAACUGCACAAGAUAGAAGAGGGAUUACAGGAGUAUGCUGAAUUUCUACACUUGCCCAACACACGCUUUACAGAUUUCUCUAUGGUUCGAAAGGAAAUCGAGGAUGAAACUGAUAAAACGACUCGGACAUCAAAUCAAAUAUCCCCUGUUCCUAUUCACCUCACCAUCUACUCCCCAAAUGUUGUCAAUCUAACAUUGAUAGAUCUGCCUGGUUUGACAAAUGUUGCUCUAGAGGGACAGCCAGAAAGUUUUGUUCGAGACAUUGAAAGCAUGAUUCUCUCAUAUAUUGAAAAGCCUAAUUGCAUAAUUUUGGCCAUUACUCCAGCAAAUCAAGAUAUAGCUAACUCUGCUGCCAUCAAGGUUUCCAGAAAAGUUGACCGUGCAGGUGUAAGAACAUAUGGUGUGUUGACAAAGUUUGAUUUGAUGAACAGAGGAAAAAUUGUCCUUUCGGGAAGAUCAUGUGGACUUCGAAACCCUUGGGUGGGGAUUGUAAACUGUUCUCAUGAAGAUAUUAAUAGCAAUGUGGAUAUGAUUGCUGCUCGGCAGAGGGAGCGUGAAUUUUUCGCCACCAGUCCUGAUUACGCACAUUUGGCCAGCAUGAUGGGCUCAGAACAUCUCGCAUGGCUUCUCUCUAAGUAUUUAGAGGAUUGGAUAAUAGUAAAUCGAAUUCCAGCGAUCCAAUCUUUUAUUGACAGAAGCAUUCGUGAGCUUCGAGCAGAGUGGUUGUGUACAACAGUUCCUUCUGAUGCUGGGGCAAGGCAACUCGCACAGUUGCUGGAGGACGCACAGUUGCUGGAGGAAGAUUCUGUGUUAACGGCAAGGAGACAGGGAUGUGCGGAGAGACUGGAGUUAUACCAGUUUGCAAGGUAUGAGAUUGAAGCGGUUUUGUGGUCUGGAUGAGAGGAAUCCCAAGUGAAUAUGAAGAGAAGUUUUGCUGGAAAAAGUUACAAUGAUGUAUAACUUAAUUUAAGGUUAUCGUGGAGUAACAUAUUUGAACUCAAAUAUUCAUUUGUACUCCUACUAAAUUAGUUGGUUUUAGGUUUUGUUUGGAACUCAAGAAGGACAGAUGAAAUAGUGUGGUGAGAGGGAAAAGAUUAUUAAAAAGUUGUGCCUUUUCUGUCCAAA